AACGAACGCUGGCGGCGCGCCUAAUACAUGCAAGUCGAGCGAGAAGGUGUAGCAAUACACUUGUAAAGCGGCGAACGGGUGAGGAACACAUGGGUGACCUACCCUCGAGUGGGGAAUAACUAGCCGAAAGGUUAGCUAAUACCGCAUACGAUUCCCGGAUUACGGUUCGGGAAGGAAAGCGAUACCGUGGGUAUCGCGCUCAUGGAUGGGCUCAUGUCCUAUCAGCUGUUGGUGAGGUAACGGCUCACCAAGGCUUCGACGGGUAGCUGGUCUGAGAGGACGAUCAGCCACACUGGCACUGCGACACGGGCCAGACUCCUACGGGAGGCAGCAGUAAGGAAUAUUGCGCAAUGGGCGAAAGCCUGACGCAGCGACGCCGC
rnacentral:rRNA from 1 species